rnacentral:rRNA from 1 species
GUGGGGAAUAUUGGACAAUGGGCGAAAGCCUGAUCCAGCCAUGCCGCGUGUGUGAAGAAGGUCUUCGGAUUGUAAAGCACUUUAAGUUGGGAGGAAGGGCAGUAAGUUAAUACCUUGCUGUUUUGACGUUACCGACAGAAUAAGCACCGGCUAACUUCGUGCCAGCAGCCGCGGUAAUACGAAGGGUGCAAGCGUUAAUCGGAAUUACUGGGCGUAAAGCGCGCGUAGGUGGUUUUGUAAGUUGGAGGUGAAAUCCCCGGGCUCAACCUGGGAGCUGCCUCCAAAACUGCAUGACUAGAGUACGGUUGAGAGUAGUGGAAUUUCCUGUGUAGCGGUGAAAUGCGUAGAUAUAGGAAGGAACACCAGUGGCGAAGGCGACUACCUGGACUGAUACUGACACUGAGGUGCGAAAGCGUGGGGAGCAAACAGGAUUAGAUACCCGUGUAGUCC